rnacentral:tRNA from 1 species
GUGCACUUAGCUAAAAUGGUAAGAGCAUCACUCUUGAAAGUUGAGGAUGUGGGUUCAAUUCCCACAGUACACA